UUUAUUAUUUGGAGAAAAAGAUGUCGGGGGGGCCCAUUGAGACAAACCCGCAUGUGGCGGCGAUGAUAGUGUUUUGACUCCACGCGCUGAGUGAUCAAUUUUCAGUAGUAGGAGCGUGGGGUCCACGCGAGGGUAAAUGUGUAAAUUAAUGAUAUAGGGAUAGUACUUAGUAGAUAGUAGUAGUGUUUGCAUGUGAUGAAGGCGGGGGGGAGUGGGAGCCCUCAAAACCCCACUACAAAAAUUUUUAAAAAGGAAUUACUUUUUUUUUAGAUACAUGGAUGGCGG
rnacentral:lncRNA from 1 species